rnacentral:rRNA from 1 species
UACGUAGGGUGCGAGCGUUGUCCGGAAUUAUUGGGCGUAAAGAGCGUGUAGGCGGCCAGGUAGGUCCGUUGUGAAAACUCGAGGCUCAACCUCGAGACGCCGAUGGAAACCCCCUGGCUAGAGUCCGGAAGAGGAGAAUGGAAUUCCUGGUGUAGCGGUGAAAUGCGCAGAUAUCAGGAAGAACACCCGUGGCUAAGGCGGUUCUCUAGUACGGUACUGACGCUGAGACGCGAAAGCGUGGGGAGCGAACAGG